CACCCGUGCAACUUCGUCAUGUGCUCCACGGCUUUACGGCUGUGCCACUAUGUGUGGAAACGUCGUAGCGGAUGAAUGUGAAUUAUGGAUCUCCAAGUGGCGUCGCCCGCGUCAUUUUCAAGAUUUUACCCGUUUUGAAGGCAAUAGGGCUGUUGAUACGGAGAAUGCUA